GCUUUGUAAUCAACAUUUUUGCAUAUGCAUAUAUCACAAGCGAAAGUGAAAAUAAAAUUGAUGACACGGUAACAUUAUUUUUAUUCCAAGUGAAGGUAAAUAGAUGUUACAACAAAACCAUUUCAUAUAAAAAACAAAUUAUGAAUCAUUGACCCUAUAUGGUGCUAGCAAGGCAAAAGUUAAGUGUGACCGACAUGCCCACCGCAAAGUUUUCAUCCAACAACUUUUUCGCCUCCAUAGCAAGAAGGCCCAACCAACAGUCGAUGAAAGGUUUGUCCACUCUCUCCACACAGGCAGGC
rnacentral:lncRNA from 1 species